rnacentral:rRNA from 1 species
GUGUCAGUAUCAGUCCAGGUGGUCGCCUUCGCCACUGGUGUUCCUUCCUAUAUCUACGCAUUUCACCGCUACACAGGAAAUUCCACCACCCUCUACCGUACUCUAGCUUGCCAGUUUUGGAUGCAGUUCCCAGGUUGAGCCCGGGGCUUUCACAUCCAACUUAACAAACCACCUACGCGCGCUUUACGCCCAGUAAUUCCGAUUAACGCUUGCACCCUCUGUAUUACCGCGGCUGCUGGCACAGAGUUAGCCGGUGCUUAUUCUGUCGGUAACGUCAAAACAGCAAGGUAUUAACUUACUGCCCUUCCUCCCAACUUAAAGUGCUUUACAAUCCGAAGACCUUCUUCACACACGCGGCAUGGCUGGAUCAGGCUUUCGCCCAUUGUCCAAUAUUCCCCACUGCUGCCUCCCGUAGGAGUCUGGACCGUGUCUCAGUUCCAGUGUGACUGAUCAUCCUCUCAGACCAGUUACGGAUCGUCGCCUUGGUGAGCCAUUACCCCACCAACUAGCUAAUCCGACCUAGGCUCAUCUGAUAGCGCAAGGCCCGAAGGUCCCCUGCUUUCUCCCGUAGGACGUAUGCGGUAUUAGCGUUCCUUUCGAAACGUUGUCCCCCACUACCAGGCAGAUUCCUAGGCAUUACUCACCCGUCCGCCGCUGAAUCAAGGAGCAAGCUCCCGUCAUCCGCUCGACUUGCAUGUGUUAGGCCUGCCGCCAGCGUUCAAU